AUUGAACCUGCAUCCACUGUGUCUCCUGCAUUGGCAGCUUGAUUCCUUACCACCUGCAAAACCUGGAAAGCCCAAGGAGGCCAAGAACCCUGGUCAGUAACACUUCCCGCCAGCACAGUAAGUGUGUAAGUGCGGAACUUGAGGUUCACAAGUGUCCUCACAUGUCUGGGAGAGAGUGAGGCCCAGUGAAAGAAUCAGGAGGGCCCCUCUGCCAACAACUCGUCACAAAGGUCACAGGCACACCUGGGGCUCCCUCCCAGCCUCUGAAACCAUAAUCACUGCCCAAACACCUCCACUCUGCAAGUGACUAGAAUUCGAGAGAGCAUGGAAAAGACCCACCGUGAAGACAGAAAAUGCCCUAUGCUCAAGGCCACCGAUGACAGCAGCAUUUAUAAACACAAAAGGCUGGAGACAGACCACAUGCCCCCCAGUCGGUGGACGAAUAAGCUAUGGGACAUCAGGGAGGGCCUUCCCCUGUGGCUCAGCUGGUAAAGAAUCUGCCUGCAGUGCAGGAGACCCUGGUUCCAUACUCCGGUAUUCUUGGGCUUCCAUUGUGGCUCAGCUGACUUUUAAUACGUACACACCUGGCACAGAGAAGGUACCCAACAAUCUUCCCCCACCAACUUUCUGCAUCCCUAUGUACAAAAAGACAGAAAACAUCACUUCUAUGGAAGAAUCUCAAACAUCUUCUGUGGAAUUAUUUAGGAGGAGAGUGGGCUCAGAAGUCCAUCAUGACAACAAGCCUGAGUUUUUGGGUCCUCCUGUGUCUUCCUCUGUUCCCUGGAACACACAAGCCUGAAGGACGGAAAAGACAACUUACUCCAGCUCAUCCUCUGAGUCGUAGCCCACUGGUCCCGACUCAAUGGCCAUGACCUCGUUCUUCGCCUGGCUUUGCUUCCAGGUGCUACUUCCUGUGGAAGAAGACGACUCCUUUCUCUUCUUCUUCCCAAAGAACUUCUUAAA